CUGACCUGGAAGCCCUGAGGAGAUCUAGCUGAUGGCCAGGAGAUGCUCAUGGUAAUCUCUUUCUACCUGGAAGAUAGAAAACUAAAAUGCCCACAAAGUUGGAUACCUGUUGGAUUACUGAAAAAUAUCCUCAAGAAAUGGACGGGUGUAUUUUCAUUGGCAAGUGCAGCAGGGCUGAAAAAGUCAGGCACAAACCCAGGAUGUCAAACCCCUCUUUGAGAUACCAGCCACCCCAGCCACCCAUAGGUUCUCUCUUUUCAUACAUGAGGAUGAUGCAAGCAUUCCUACUCUGGAUGGAUGCUCUCAGUGCCUACCUCACCAACACUUCAGUCAAGAGUCAGAGAAAUCUCUCCCUAAAUGAAAGUGCCAUUUCCAUGGACAGGCCAACUUGUUGAAGGUAUGGCUUCGAGUUAUUUUGAGCAGUGUGAGAGAACUAUCUGUAGGUUGUGGGACCUGCCUUCAUGUGUUCUGCUUCUGUAUUUGGAACUUUCACUUGUC